rnacentral:tRNA from 1 species
UGUCAGAAGUGAGAUUUGAACCCACGCCUACAAGAGUAGACUGCGACCUGAACGCAGCGCCUUAGACCGCUCGGCCAUCCUGAC